GCGGGCAGAUUUCCAUCAUCACAUCACAUUUGCGCUGAGGUGUGUGGCGUCUCACAUGCGAUUGGCCUCGAUUCCCAGCGGCCCUGAGCUCAGAGCAGCGACUGCAGCCUCUCUUCAUCCCUUCACGGAGCAGGGGAAACAGGCGGAAAAGGGUCAGAGCGAGAGGGUGUAUGCUGUGUUUGUGUGGUAUUUCCAAAAUGAAAUCAUCAGCAAUGCCCAACAAUGAAACUGACCUCUCCACCUGAUUUACAGACACCAAAAGCUGACUGAGGCACAAUCCAGAGGUUGUUUUGAAACAUAUUCUCAUCCUGUGAAAGAUCAGACCGUGUGGCACACACAAGGAUCCCAG